GACGAACGCUGGCGGCGUGCCUAAUACAUGCAAGUCGAGCGCUGAAGGUUGGUACUUGUACCGAUUGGAUGAGCAGCGAACGGGUGAGUAACGCGUGGGGAAUCUGCCUUUGAGCGGGGGACAACAUCUGGAAACGAAUGCUAAUACCGCAUAAAAACUUUAAACACAAGUUUUAAGAUUGAAAGAUGCAAUUGCAUCACCCAAUGAUGAUCUCGCGUUGUAUUAGCUAGUUGGUGAGGUAAAGGCCCACCAAGGCGAUGAUACAUAGCCGGCCUGAGAGGGUGAUCGGCCAAAUUGGGAAUGGGACACGGGCCAAACUCCUACGGGAGGCAGCAGUAGGGAAUCUUCGGCAAUGGAGGAAAGUCUGACCGAGCAACGCCGCGUGGGUGGAGGAGGUUUUCGGAUCGUAAAACUCUGUUGGUAGGGAAGAACGUUGGUGAGAGGGGAAAGCGCAUCAAGUGACGGUAACUACCCAGAAAGGGACGGCUAACUACGUG
rnacentral:rRNA from 1 species